UUUACUGAAUGGUGAAUACCCAUUUAGAAGCUGCAUGUGUGUUUGUGCGGAAACAUUGUAAAGUUUUCGGACAAAGGAUUCGGGCAAAUUAGAAGCUUCUUGUAAACAUCAAUGCAAGAAAGAGAAGAAGGCAGUGAGUAUAACACUUUUGCCUUUGGGAUGUGACCGUCAGGACUGAGAAACCAUGUCUGUAUUCUACCAAAGCAGGAUAUGCUGUUAAUAUCCUUGAAAUGUAGGCAUGAGAAAGAAGAUACUAAUGAAGAACAAAACCAUUUAGGCACCCAUCGUGACAAAGUGACCCCCGCGUCCCGCAGUGGGAUUCCGUCCAGCAAAAUAAGGAUCUAUUCCUUACUCUGUGGCACUAGAGCAAAUAUUAAGCCACUAGGUCAUGCUAUUUGUUGUCGCAGCCGAUCAACAUGAGUUUGGUCAAACCGUUGAGAAAUGUUUACAUAAGGCCUAACAGCAUUAGCACCUACUUCGAUAUGGGACCUCGGUUCAUACGGUCUCAUCCAAAGGACCGGUCUCCAGUCGGAUACAAACCUGAGACCAGAGGCCUGUUCAGCAGAGCUAACGUUUGCGAGCGCUCGCCAAAUUUACAGUUGGAGGUAUAAGGAAUUUUGGCGAGCGCUCGCGAACGUUCGC